rnacentral:sRNA from 1 species
GGAAGUGACAGAGCUCAUUAGGGGUGUGGCCUUGGCAGAGAAGAGGGCUCUGUGCUUCUAAGAGCCCAUCCCUUCCUCUGACCAACCCAACGAGCAAACACAAAAACCAACCCUGAAACAGUAAAGGUCGAAAUCAAGGCAGAGUUUAAUACACACGUGCAUUCACAGCCUCUUAGGAGUUCAGAGUUCAGAAGCACCCUCACCGUCCAUGCUGAGGCAUGAGCAGUGUUAGGGGGGUCAUACAGUCCUGACUGUUCAUAUAGUCAAGCCUACCCUCCACAUGGUCUCACUCUCCCCUUGGCCAGUACUGCCCGCUUCCUCUCCCUCCCCAUUGUGCGCGCCCACAGCAAACACCGUGGAGACAUAUUGGUGGAGGUUGCUUAUAGGGAGAUACAGAGAGAGUUCAGCAGAACCAAGAUCUCUGCUGCAGAACACGAAGAAACAAGGAUGGGCGCCAACACCAGAGGCCAGAGGAAAAGGGACAGACCCUGCCCUGCACACUAUGGAGGAAAGGUGGCACUGCCCAUGCCUCAAUUUGGGACUUUUGUUUUUUUCCUUCAGUUAGGGUCUCAUAUACCCCAGGCUGGCCUUGAACCCACUCUGUAGCUGACCAAGUCUUCAGCAGGGUGUCAGCCUACCCCUCAUAGUGAGGUCAGUCAGAGCAGGCUAGCUCCACUUGUAUGUAUCAAACAGUCUUACAGUCACCCUUACAGUUUCUUCCAGACGGAGUCCUGCCUUGGUGCUUCCCUUGUAGGCACGCCUAACCCUCCGUGGGCAUGGGAUGGAGGCUGAUGAGGUGUAACACAGUAGGGUGGGCCAGGUCAGUCAGGGGUUUCCAUGUUUCAGAUAGGGGCAGUCCCCAGUGAUUUCCAACUCCUCCUUGUCCCCCUUGACCCACUAUGACAGAAAGCACUGAUAUCCAAUGCCCACGGAGCACAGUCAAACUUCCCUUGGACUGUAACUCCAUUUACAUUUAGGCUUUCUGGUCAAACCCACAUACACAUUUUCAAAGACACAGAACCCUCUGUGUGGGUCAUUUUUGCUGAUCAAAAUCACAGAUGUGGAGUUAGGGAGAUGGCUCAGUCAGCAAAGUGUUUGAUUUGCAAGAAUUAAGAUCAGAAUUUGAUCUCCAGAAACCACUUAAAAGCAAAAACAAUCAAACCCAGGCACGGUGAUGUGGGUUUGUGAUCCCAGUUUUGGGAGGUAGAGACAGGAGGAUUCCAGUCUAGCUUCCUUGGAAAAUUCCAGGCCAAGUGCAGGACCUUGUCUCAACAAACAAACAAGCAACAAACUAACCCAAGAAGGAUACCACCUGAGGAGUAAACCCCAGGGUGUCCUGUGAGCACACACGUGUGCACCUGCACACGCCUGCAGCCCUUUGAGCACACACAUGUGCACUCCACACAUGCUUGCAGCUCCCUAGAUGAACACACACCCAGGCUCACACAGGCAAGAAUGUUAGUUUGUUUCUCAGAGCUGCUUCCCCUCACCGAGUGUCUGGGGUUAUUACAGUGCAGAUUUUGAAGGCAGAGCUCACACACCCAACUGCUUAUGGAGUGGUGGAGUGAGUCAUAGCAGCAGAGUGCCUGUCAGGAAGGAGUCGGCCUUGCCACCCUCCUCUCCAUGUGAGGAAGCUGUAAGCAGAAGAGGCAGAGAACCCUUGGCAUGGGGUGGUGCCAUCUGGAGUUCUUGAGAAGGGGGAAAGGGUUUGCUAUGUGCAGUGUUCACAGCCUGCUGAUCUGCAUACAUCUGCAGCAUCCCCGGAAGGAUCCCCGGGAGGGAACAACAGAGGGAAAGCUGCUCAGCGACAGUUUUUCCUACUCCCAAGCUUUCUAUAGUGGGUAUAGAGAUGUUUAACCUCCACUGUCAAUUUGACUGCAUUUAGAAUCACCAUGGGAACCUAUCUCUGGGUGUGUCUAUUAGGGUGUUUUCCAGAGAGGUUUAACUGUGGGUAGCAUCAUCCCAAGGGCUGGAUGUUGCAGACUGAAUGACGGAGAAAGCUGUGCAUCAACGUUCGUUCUAUUCCCAGACUGCAGAAGCAAUGCGACCGGCUGCCUUCCCCGCUGCUGCUCUGCCUUGACCGCUACAAUGGACGGCACCAUGAGCUGAGAGACCCUUCCUUCCAAUUGCUCUUGUCGGGCAUAUUGUCAUAACAGCGAGAGAAGGAAUUCUACAGGAAGCUAUCUACGCGCACCAUUCUCCUGGAAUAGGUCCAGUCACCACUGGGUGAAUGACUUCGCUGACAGGGCAAACUCCCGGCUGGUUCUUUGAUUGGCUAACGAUCACCAUCCCAGUGCAAAACCCUGGAAGAGGAAGGCAGCUUUACUUGAGAGGACUCACAGAGGCUUCAAGCUUCUUCUCCUGGACCCUGACUCUUGAUCGGUUGUUUGUGCAAAUGCUGGACGAUCCUAACCACGGCGGGGGCCAGGAGAGAAGGCUGGAGGCCGAGGGGCACCGGGCCACAGCUCAUGCUGGCUCAGCCUGCCUUUUCUGCUGGAAUGGAUACCGUCUGUGGCUGCAUAACUCUCCAGUUGCCUCAAGAAAACCCUCCACCCUCAGGUCACGGGGUGUUUCCAUCUUCCACCCAGCCUGCCUCACCUCUGUCCUGCUCUCCGUCCUCAGUCAGGGCCUCCCAUGGGGCACAGGGACUGCACAGGCUUCAUCAAGCCGCUCUCUGUGACUGCAGUGUACACCCAGGACAAGAGACUUAACAAGAGAAGAGGGUUACGCUGGCUCGUAGUUUCAGUUCAGGACAGGUCACAGGUCAUCCUGUGGCACAGCAGGACAGAAGUGUGUGGCGACUGUCCACCUCAGGGCCAGCUCACAGGAGAGAAGGACGAGGAUACUACAACCCACGAUUUCCUUCAAGGAAGCAUCUCCAGUGACUGAAGAAGCCCUAUCAGGCUCCACUGCUGAAACUUUCCACCAGCACCAAGUCGGGGACCCAGUCUUUAAAACGUGGGUCACUGGGGAAUAGUCCAGAUACAGACCAUGGCAGAAGGGGAAGGGAAUGUGUGCGGCAAAGGCGCAGGUGACACAGGGCAAGGCUCACAAGCAAAUACAGAACGUGUGGUCAAUGUAGGGGCGCAGGGAGGACCUCACUAGAAUAAAAUAAAUGCCCCUCUUCUCCCUGAUGGGAGAUCCGUUUCCUGGUGCCCUGCAGCACUUCCUGUUGCUUGCAGAGUCCUGCCUCACACUCUAAUGAGUCCACCAGCUCCUCGGGCACCUAUACCUCAGAUGGAGGGACGGGUGGUCAGACGACGGUUAAGUACUUACGCACCUCUUUGUGUCAAGUACACAGAACAAGUUCAUAAACCCUGACUUCACCUUCCAGACUCCUUCAUCUAAAUCGAGAUGUCACCAAGGGAUAGGAUCAAAGCUGCAAAACCACAAAAAGCCGUGUGAACUUUCUCAGAAAGAGGGGCUCCACAGGCAUGCCUACGGGAAGAGAGUCUGGAGGUGCCAAGUGCCUGGAAAGGGCAGGAAGAGGAGCUGAGGAACAGUGAAGGGUGCGCAGAGGGGCGCUGGGUCUGGAACUCUGAGUGGCUCUAUACUGGGUGGCCCUGGGCAGGCAGCUUUUGACCCAAGCUGGCAGAAAGAGAGGGACAAAGAUCAAUUGUCACCAAGUGGGUGCUGGCGUCUCAGUGGUUAUUUGGGAUGGCUGUUAGGCUGGUGAGGACAUUCCUGGGUGAUUUUCUGUUUGAAUACUGGUGUCACCAUUAGUAAAUCAAGGGGCAAGAGGGACAGCAUUGCUUCACGUCUCCAUUUUACAACCUUUUGAUGUUGGGACGGCUCAUGCUCAGUAACCACACUGUCAAAGCCACAAAAUAAAAUCAUAAAAGAGU